rnacentral:rRNA from 1 species
UACGUAGGGGGCAAGCGUUAUCCGGAUUUACUGGGUGUAAAGGGAGCGUAGACGGCGAUGCAAGUCAGAUGUGAAACCCAUGGCUCAACCAUGGGAUUGCAUUUGAAACUGUGUUGCUAGAGUGCAGGAGAGGUAAGCGGAAUUCCUGGUGUAGCGGUGAAAUGCGUAGAGAUGUGGAGGAACACCAGUGGCGAAGGCGACUCUCUGGUCUGUAACUGACGCUGAGGAGCGAAAGCGUGGGAAGCGAACAGGA